rnacentral:rRNA from 1 species
GAGUCAGCCUGCCCAGUGACUAAAUUCAACGGCCGCGGUAUCCUAACCGUGCGAAGGUAGCGUAAUCACUUGUUCUUUAAAUGAGGACUAGUAUGAAUGGCACCACGAGGGUUAUACUGUCUCCUUUUUCUAAUCAAUGAAACUGAUCUCCCCGUGAAGAAGCGGGGAUAAGACUACCAGACGAGAAGACCCUAUGGAGCUUCAAACAACAUAGCAAUGGCUUAUUUACCAAUAUAAUUUCAGAAUACCUACACUUAUCAUAGCCNUUUUGACUAUUAGUUUUGGGUUGGGGUGACCACGGAGCAAAACCUAACCUCCAUGUUGGANNUAGAUCUCCUCUUGAGCCAAAAGCCACAACUUUAAGCACCAAUAAACUGACAUAAAUUGACCCAAUAUUUUGAGCAACGAACCAAGUUACCCUAGGGAUAACAGCGCAAUCCACUUCAAGAGCCCCUAUCGACAAGUGGGUUUACGACCUCGAUGUUGGAUCAGGGUAUCCCAGUGGUGCAGCCGCUACUAAAGGUUCGUUUGUUCAACGAUUAAAACCCUACGUGAUCUGAGUUCAGACCGGAGCAAUCCAGGUCAGUUUCUAUCUAUAAAGGGCUUUUUCUAGUACGAAAGGACCGAAAAAGCGUGGCCAAUACUUCAAGCAAGCCACCCCUUAUUAUUUAUGAACUAACCUCAAUAAAAAAUUAACCUAACANCCUNUUUCCAAGAUAAAGGAG